rnacentral:lncRNA from 1 species
CCCCAUCUUUUUUAGGGGAAUGGGAAGAAAAUUUCCACUACAAGCAGCAGCAGUCUCAUGUCUUUCGACGCCACUUCUCUCUGAGGGAUUGAACUCAGGUCCUUGUGCUUUCGAGACAGGAGGCAUAACCACUGAGAUAAAUUCCCGGCCCCCUAUUGUAAGUAUCUUUGUUGCUUUUAAUUAGAACCCUUAUGGAAUGAUUCCUUCUCAGAGAUGCCUUCCAGAUAUAGCUUGUCUUUAAGUUUUGAGUCUCUAAUGGCUCUGAGGCUAUCUCAUUUUCAUUAUACCAUGAAGGACCACUGACUAGAUCAAUCACAACACCUUAGCCCAAGUGAUACCAUCAACAUCAAGUACAUCUUUGAAAAAUGGCAAUUUAUGAAAGUUAUUAAUCUAUCACCUCUAACUGUGAAUUAAAUCAAAAUAGAGGACCAACCCAACAUAUGUUUA